GUGGGGAAUAUUGGACAAUGGGGGGAACCCUGAUCCAGCCAUGCCGCGUGUGUGAAGAAGGCCUUUUGGUUGUAAAGCACUUUAAGCGAGGAGGAGGCUACCGAGAUUAAUACUCUUGGAUAGUGGACGUUACUCGCAGAAUAAGCACCGGCUAACUCUGUGCCAGCAGCCGCGGUAAUACAGAGGGUGCAAGCGUUAAUCUGAUUUACUGGGCGUAAAGCGCGCGUAGGUGGCCAAUUAAGUCAAAUGUGAAAUCCCCGAGCUUAACUUGGGAAUUGCAUUCGAUACUGGUUGGCUAGAGUAUGGGAGAGGAUGAUAGAAUUCCAGGUGUAGCGGUGAAAUGCGUAGAGAUCUGGAGGAAUACCGAUGGCGAAGGCAGCCAUCUGGCCUAAUACUGACACUGAGGUGCGAAAGCAUGGGGAGCAAACAGGAUUAGAAACCCUUGUAGUCC
rnacentral:rRNA from 1 species